rnacentral:rRNA from 1 species
AGAGUUUGAUCAUGGCUCAGGACGAACGCUGGACGGCGUGCUUAACACAUGCAAGUCGAACGAUGAAGCCCUUCGGGGUGGAUUAGUGGCGAACGGGUGAGUAACACGUGGGCAAUCUGCCAAUGCACUCUGGGACAAGCCCUGGAAACGGGGUCUAAUACCGGAUACUGAUCGCCUUGGGCAUCCUUGGUGAUCGAAAGCUCCGGCGGUGCAGGAUGAGCCCGCGGCCUAUCAGCUUGUUGGUGAGGUAAUGGCUCACCAAGGCGACGACGGGUAGCCGGCCUGAGAGGGCGACCGGCCACACUGGGACUGAGACACGGCCCAGACUCCUACGGGAGGCAGCAGUGGGGAAUAUUGCACUAAUGGGCGAAAGCCUAUGCAGCGACGCCGCGUGAGGGAUGACGGCCUUCGGG